CCUACGGGAGGCUGCAGUGGGGAAUAUUGCACAAUGGAGGAAACCCUGAUGCAGCGACGCCGCGUGAGUGAAGAAGUAUCUCGGUACGUAAAGCUCUAUCAGCAGGGAAGAAAAUAACGGUAACUUGCUAAGAAGCCCCGGCGAACUACGUACCCGCAGCCGCGGGAAAACGUAGGGGGCAAGCGUUAUCCGGAUUUACUGGGUGUAAAGGGAGAGUAGACGGCAGCACAAGUCUGGUGUGAAAUCCCGGGGCUUAACCCAGGAACUGCAUUGGAAACUGUGCGUCUGGAGUGCAGGAGAGGUAAGUGGAAUUCCUAGUGUAGCGGUGAAAUGCGUAGAGAUUAGGAGGAACACCAGUGGCGAAGGCGACUUACUGGACUGUAACUGACGUUGAGGCACGAAAGCGUGGGGAGCAAACAGGAUUAGAUACCCGAGUAGUC
rnacentral:rRNA from 1 species